AGUAAAUUGGUUAAGUUAGAAAGGGCGCACGGUGGAUGCCUUGGCACUAGGAGCCGAAGAAGGACGGGACUAACACCGAUAUGCUUUGGGGAGCUGUACGUAAGCGUUGAUCCAGAGAUUUCCGAAUGGGGGAACCCACUAUCUUUAGUCGGAUAGUAUCCUUACGUGAAUACAUAGCGUGAGGAAGGCAGACCCAGGGAACUGAAACAUCUAAGUACCUGGAGGAAGAGAAAGAAAAAUCGAUUUCCUGAGUAGCGGCGAGCGAAACGGAAAGAGCCCAAACCAAGAAGCUUGCUUCUUGGGGUUGUAGGACACUCUAUACGGAGUUACAAAAGAAAGUUAUAAAUGAAGCGGUCUGGAAAGGCCCGCCAAAGACGGUAACAGCCCGGUAGUUGAAAUAGCUUUCCCUCCAGAGUGGAUCCUGAGUACGGCGGAACACGUGAAAUUCCGUCGGAAUCC
rnacentral:rRNA from 1 species